rnacentral:rRNA from 1 species
AGAUUGAACGCUGGCGGCAUGCCUAACACAUGCAAGUCGAACGGGAGUAGCAAUACUCUAGUGGCGGACGGGUGAGGAAUACGUAGGAAUUUGCCCUUAAGUGGGGGAUAACCCGGGGAAACCCGGAUUAAUACCGCAUGACCUCGAAAGAGCAAAGUGGGGGAUCGCAAGACCUCACGCUUUUGGAGAAGCCUACGGCGGAUUAGCUAGUUGGUGAGGUAAUGGCUCACCAAGGCGACGAUCCGUAACUGGUCUGAGAGGAUGAUCAGUCACACCGGAACUGAGACACGGUCCGGACUCCGUACGGGAGCAGCAGGUAGGGAAUAGUUGGACAAGUGGGCGCAAGCCUGACUCCAGCCAAUCGCCGCGUGUGUAGAAG